AUGGCGUCGGCGUCUCCGCCUCCCACCACCGCCGGCGCGCGGCCCAGUCCCAGCACACCCUCCCCCUCGUCCUCCUCCCUUUCCACCGUCUCCCCCCACGGGCCCAUCUCCCUCUGCGGCGCCUCGAGGGCUUCCUCCGUCUCCGUCCAGCAACGGCGGGCAUCCCCUCUCGCCGGAAGGUCGCGCCUACCAGGCCCCAUCCGCUGCUCUGAUGCCUCCGGCGAGGUUGACGCACUUAUUGAAGAAACCAAGCAGCCACAAGGAGGCUCAACCGGGGAAAGAAAUAAUGACAAAGAUGUGUUCAGAAGAUUUUCACCUAAAGAGUUGCUAGAACAAUUGAAGAGAUAUGGUGCUGCUGGAGUUUUGUCAUAUGGACUACUUAAUACUGUGUAUUAUGUCACCACCUUUUUAUUAGUUUGGUUCCAUUUUUCGCCUGCUCCUGGUAGGAUGGGCUAUGCUGCAGCAGUGGAGAGGUUCCUUAAAUUAAUGGCAAUGGUGUGGGCUGGCAGUCAGGUUACUAAAAUUCUUCGUGCAGGAGGAGCCCUUGCACUUGCUCCUCUUGUUGAUAGAGGACUGAGAUGGUUCACUGUGAAGUUCAACUUCCAGUCAGAAGGAAAGGCAUUUGCGACGAUCGUAGGGUUAUGCUUUGCACUUGCUGCGCUUAUGUUCGUUGGAUUGACAGUACUUUGGGCAUAG
rnacentral:rRNA from 1 species